rnacentral:rRNA from 1 species
CAGUCGCCACGGGAAUACGGAGGGAGCUAGCGUUGUUCGGAAUCACUGGGCGUAAAGCGCACGUAGGCGGCUAUUCAAGUCAGGGGUGAAAGCCCGGGGCUCAACCCCGGAACUGCCUUUGAAACUAGAUAGCUUGAAUCUUGGAGAGGCGAGUGGAAUUCCGAGUGUAGAGGUGAAAUUCGUAGAUAUUCGGAAGAACACCAGUGGCGAAGGCGACUCGCUGGACAAGUAUUGACGCUGAGGUGCGAAAGCGUGGGGAGCGAACAGGAUUAGAUACCCCCGUAGUCUCUGUCUCUUAUAC